UCCCUGGUAGUCUAGUGGUUAAGAAUCUGCCUGCCAAGGCAGGGAACGUGGGUUCAAUCCCUGCUCUGGGAA
rnacentral:tRNA from 1 species